rnacentral:sRNA from 1 species
CUCGUUUGAUUUGGUUUACUUAUUUUUUUUUAGGGGUGGGGGUUAGAGUUAGGGGUAAUAGUGUUGAUUUUAGGCAUAAAUUUGAUUGUUGUAUGGAAAAACAGGAGUACAAAAUUGUUGAAGAUGAUAAUUAAUUCACCUGUAAUUAUUACUGGUAUAAUGACCAUGGCACUAGUUUCUUCAAAAAUAUGCGCUUAUUUCAACUAUAUUGUUGUUUUUUUUCAUAGAAAUUUGAAAUCAGAAAUUUUUUGUAAGAUGAUGUAGAAGUCUCUACCCCUUUUAGCAUCUAUCAUAGCUAAUGUACUUUGUAGAAAAGAUAUUAUUGACAGCAUUAUGAUAAGACAGUCUUCAUUUUUUUGUAUAUGUAUAUUUUUAAUAUGAUAAAAAACUAACAUGCAUACUUUUGAUAUUCAACCCUGCCAUGUAAUAAAUGUACAUAUAUUUUCCAUGAAUUCUCUACCAGCAGGACUUUUACAUGUUUGAGGCUUGUUGAGGCUGAACACCAUUGCAUGUAUCACUAAAGGGCAACAAAAUUAAUUAGAAUUAAUGUGCAAUUUUAGAAGCAGAAAUAGUUAAUUUUAGAGUACUCUGCAAACCAAUUAGCUGAACAUUUAUUGGAAAUUUUAUUUUAGAAAGCAGUAUAUUGUUUUAUGGAAUAGGUAUAAGCCAUGUCUUGUCUAUUGUGACUAAUUAAUUUUCAUACAAUUGUAGAAAUGUGGAUAUCUUCUAUCAACUUCUAACGUGUUAAAAAAUCAAACCGCAAAGUUAAAUAGUUUUGGUGAUAAUGGUGUUAAAGGAAAACACACUUCUUUUUCAUAAUUUAAUCAUUUGUAUGUAUUGCUACGGAAUAACUAUUCCAAUGUAAUAUCAGAAGUUUUUGAAAUCUGUAAAAUCUAGUUGGCUUAAUUCACUGAGUAAAGGUUAAGUAAAGGGAUAGAAAAUGCUGCCUCUGUGGUUGUAUCCACUAACAAUGUCUAUAUAGUUCAGCAUACCUCAGUCUCAGUACGGAGUUUUUACUGUUGCUAUUUUGUAAAAAGAAGAUGCUGUAAUUUGGUGCAACAUGUAAUACAUGUAAUGUCUAUUUGGUCUCUAAGAUAUUGAUUACAAAUUUGCUGAUAUAUGUAAAUGGUACAUGUAUUCUUAUACUGCUACACAUGAAGAAAAGUGGUGCUUAGAGGAUCAAGACUGGGUUAUUCUGAUCAACUAUCGAGGGCUGUAUACACAGUAUAUGGCAGCAGGGGGACUUCAAAUUGUAGUGAAUCUGUGAUAAUAUAAAUCUGUGUAGUCCAGCAAUGUAGAAAAAUAUUGUGUCUAUUUUGUGUGUUAUUAUUUUUUUGUACUUAAUGAUUUAUUUUAACAAAACUGUUUGAAUAUUAAAUUAUUUGUGAAAAGCAACAU